rnacentral:rRNA from 1 species
UACGUAGGGUGCACGCGUUGUCCGGAAUUAUUGGGCGUAAAGAGCUCGUAGGCGGUUUGUCGCGUCUGCUGUGAAAAUCCAGGGCUUAACCCUGGACCUGCAGUGGGUACGGGCAGACUGGAGUGCGGUAGGGGAGAUCGGAAUUCCUGGUGUAGCGGUGAAAUGCGCAGAUAUCAGGAGGAACACCGGUGGCGAAGGCGGAUCUCUGGGCCGUAACUGACGCUGAGGAGCGAAAGCAUGGGGAGCGAACAGG